rnacentral:ncRNA from 1 species
UACAUGCAUAGAGAGGCGUUGCCUCUUUAUACCUCCCUGUUGGACUUUGCCAGGCCUAGUGCCCGGCGUUUCUU